AAUGUAUCCCAACAAUCCUAAUUAAAGUUGUUAUUUACAGGUCAGAUGGUAGAGAAAUGAUUACAUAUAUUUAAGAACCUAAAAUGCAGAUUGUCUUAUUCUCCCAGGAGCUAGAGGAGGGGGAGAAAAAUUGGGAAGGCAGGUGGGCAGACAGGAUUGAAAUUUCCUAAUCUCAUUCAUUCCUUUCUACAGACAAGUCAACAGUUCCCCGGAAAGUUGAAGAUUAAACUCUGUGGCUAGAGUUCUAAUCUCAGUUACUAACAAAUACUGAGCCUCCAGCUUGCCCCUUUAUCUGCUCAUCUCUCCUUCCAAAGGAAGAAGCAAGAAGGAGGAAUUGGAAAUCAAAGAGAAACUCCUCUGUGUCCUCCUGCAGUCCUACUUGGCCAAGGCAGGAAGGACCCAUGGAGGGGGGCACUGAGCGACCAUGCAGCUGAGCUAGAUCGUCAGACUCUUCCUUCUCUUGAAGCCCUUUGCACCCCAGCCCUGCCUACUGGAGCCAGAGGUAACGGAGAGCAGAGAAGGCAAGUGUUCCCUCCAGCAGUUGCUCCAAAAGUCUUUUGGCAAGAAGGAAAGUUGGUGGGAGGCUGUGCCCCUUCCUGCCCCCCACGCAUCAGGAUGGGAGGAUGUGGCUGUGCUUCUGCCUGGAGCCCCGUGCUCCUGUAACCUGCUCCUUCCAGUGACCUAAGUCGCACCUGGUCUCAGAAGGGGAAGGAAGAGGUAAGAGGACACUCUUCCCACUAUGGCUACAAAAGAGACCUGAUGCCUUCCCUUCAACCACCCCCCCCCCCAAGAGAGUGCAGUUCUCAGAGGCGCCCUCACACCUGCUUGCAUUUUAAUUAAUAUCAUCCCACCAUCUAUCAACAGCAAGUCAACAUGCUUCACACCAGGGGAGAAAAACAAUCCUCGCCUUGUCAGCCCUGCUUCUCCAGGAGCAGCUGAGGGUCUCAACCCCCCCUGACUCUCUGCCACUCCUUUUCCCUGGGGGCUGUUGACAGGGUGCAGUGUGGCUUGCCACGAAGAUGGCUUCGGCAUCAGAAGGUGGCAGCAUGGGAGCGCUGGCUGGAGCUGCCUCUUGGUCAGGUACAGGCACUUAGUACCAGCUCUGUGCUCAGGGCUUUCUGAUCAUUGAAGCAAUGGUGUGCGAAAAGGAUUUCUAUCCUCAUCUUAUCAGAAGGUGCACUAGAAGUUUGGAGAAGUACGGGGACUGCUGAGGUCCCACUGCUGAAGCAGGACCAGGCUGGGCAUCUGAAAGGCAGACCUGGCCUCCAGAUCCCUCAGGCUCUUCCCGCCUCUCUUCCCCAGUACCCCAUGACAGCAGCCUGGGGAAGGGACUGGCCUUGAGUGCUUUUCUGAGCAGCAGAGCUGGUGGGGACAGAGCCUUCCUUCCCCGCAUCCACCACAGCCAUACCCUUGGGACACUGUUUAGCCCACUGGACUUCUGCCAAGUGCUAUCCCAGAUGAUCAACACCGUUUUCUGAGAUAUGAGAUAAUUAACUGCCCCGACUUUAGCAGCAGAAUGAGAAGGGUUCUGUUAGGUGGAGACAGGAGUUAAGAAUAGGCAAGUAUAUCAAUAGAAGGUCAUAGUGUGGAAGCCUCUUUGUAUUUAUGGGGUAUGUGUGCACAGAUGCAUGCCCAUAAGAGUGUGAGGCAGUUGGAACAGUAU
rnacentral:lncRNA from 12 species